rnacentral:misc_RNA from 1 species
GUGAAUCAUCAAAUUUUUGAACGCAAAUUGCACUCUCUUCGGAGAGUAUGCCUGUUUGAGGGUCAGCCUAAAAAAAAUCGACAUCGUUGCUGUUUCGCGGUGGCGUUCGUCGGAAAUUGGGUUAUCUUAAAUCUUUGGUUUAAGCGACUUAAAAUUUUCUUUUUGGUUCCAUGAACGUUUCUAAUAUUUAUUUCUUUACACGUUUAUGUUAUCGAUUUUUAUUAGACGUGACCAUCAUACCGGAUCGCGUCCAUAAUCUUUCA